GUUCACACUUAAAUUUUAAAGAACGCGUAAAAUAAAGUGGGAACACUACUUGUUGAUACGUAGAACGAAAGAAUUUCUUUCGUUAAAUGAUGUAGCCGGCGUCCCCAAGCCAACCCAAGCCAUUCAGUUACAGUGUGAAUGUCUGAUCGAUAAGAGGAGCUAUUCAGCGGAGAGCUGAAGCAAAAAUAAAAAGAGAUUUGUUCGAUUUCCCAUUUGCCGCCGCCCGCCCGUCGCCUGCUGCCAUCACGUCGUUUCAUGCAUCAAAAAUUUAAGUGCUCUUCUUACACCACGUUGCCACCACCACGCUGCCGCCACAUAUUGUCUGCCUCCGGUGUCGUUGUCGUCAUUUGCCACACCACGUUCCUUCCAGCCACCACUUUGUUCCCGCCAGCCACC